ACUUUGGGACAGUGGAAAACAGCGCUCAUGAAGCACAGUGGGCAGCAGUACGUGAUACACAGAUGUAGGGCAAUGGGUCUCUUGAUCUCUGAAGCCCUUUAACAGCUUAUAAAAUGGUUAAAUGCUUUGGCACCACCUGCUGGAUGUUUCCAGUGCUGCUUUAAACAACAUUACUCUAGAUCAGGCUUGGCCAACUCCAGGACUCGAGUGCCGGUGUCCUGCAGGUUUUAGAUCUCACCCUGGGUCACACACCUGAAUCAAAUGAUUAGUUCAUUACCAGACCUCUGGAGAACUCCAAGACAUGUUAAGGAGGUAAUUUAGCCAUUUAAAUCAGCUGUGAUGGAUCCUGCAGGACACCGGCCCUCGAGGCCUGGGUUUGGACACCACUGCUCCAGAUCAACUCAACUCAAGCAACAAAUCUCCCACUGGUCCACUCCUGCCACCAUUGUGCCCUCUUACCAUUUUUUCCCCGCUAUGGUGACUGUGAUGAGGAGGAGCGGUUCAAAGAAAAAGGAGAAGUUUCACAGUCCUGUCAAUGGAUCGAUUGAUCUGGUGAAUAAAAAUAGUUAUUUAUGGAUUAGAGAUAUAUAAUGUGCAUAGAUGACCGUGCUGCAUGAGUAACUGAGUUUGCAGUAGGAACAGGAAGCUCACUGUUGUGGUUUGUAGCUGAAGUUACUGGUUAACAAACUUUAACAGAUUCAGCUUCUCUACAGUAACUUUUUGAGUUUACCUUCCUACAUAUACUUCUGUGUCCAUCUGCAAUUGCAUUUCUGUGCAAAAGUGGUUUUUUCUGUGGAUGAGGCUUGUUUAUAUAUCAGUGGCAUAAAUGCUGGAAAGAGACUUAUUUUAUUUGUUGUUGAGGGUUUUUUCUAUUUAUUUAUUGUUUUAAAUUGCUGUAUUUAGGGAUGUCGGGUAUAUUGCUGGCAUUGACAUUAACACACAUGCAGUGCUGUGAAAAAGUACCUGCCCCUAAAUCUAAUAAUGUCUUGUGCCACCUUUGGCAGCACAAACUGCAAUUAAGCAUUUGUGCUAACUGGCGAUGAGUCUUUCACAUCAUUUUGGAAAAAUGUGGAACCACUAUUCUUUGCCAAAAUGUUUUUAUUUAGUCACGUUGGAGUCUUUUGGAGGUUGACUUGCUGGUGUAUUUUGGAUCAUUGUCUUAAGCUUCGGGGCAUGAACUGAAGCCCAGAUAUUCUCCUUCAGGAUUUCCUGGUAAAGAGCAGAAUUCAUGGUUCCAUUAUUUACAGCAAGUCAUCCGGGUACUGAAGCAGCAAAGCAACCUGAAACCAUUUUUUUGAUUCUUGAUCAACAGGUCAUGGAAAUGUGGCAAAUAUGAAAAAAGAAUAAGAAGUCACUAAGUGGGCAAAUAUUUAUAGAAGUUUUGUCUUUUGUAAGAUUGGGUUGCUUAGAUAGUUAUUUUUGCUUUUGCAUAAAUUUGCUCAAAUACAUUUAUGUAGGAUACAAAUUAUUUAAAAUCACAGCUUUCAGUAGGGAUGCAUAAGAAAAUAAAAAGAUGAUAUUGUAAAAAAAAAAAAAGACAUAAAAAACAUAAUCACACCAUUUCUUCUUCUUUCAUUUAUUCUUGAUUAACAUAUGAGGCAGUGGGAUUUGGUAGGUCAGGUGUGAGCUCCAGUAGCUCUGGUUAACCAGUAAACCAGUAACCAACCAGACCUAAUGCAUCAUUGUAAAUAUAACCCUUUAAAACUAAAUGUACCAUAUUUGAUUUGUAAAAAGAAAAAAAAAGUAAAUUGCAACAUUUAUUUUUAAAGAACAAAAAGCAAAUAAAUGCCUGAUGUUGCAAAUACAACACAAAUCAAAACUUAAUUUGUUUUGUAAGACGUUUAACAUAAUUUAUAAUUCAGCAACGGAUUCUAUAUUGAUCAAAUAUUUGAUAUAAAAUAACUUUAAAAUGAAUUAGGACAUCAUCCUA